rnacentral:lncRNA from 1 species
AGGGAUGCAGGAUUUUUGUCUGCUUUACGUGUUCCUGUAUCCCCAGAACCUGGUACAUGAUUGAUGCUCAACAAAAACCCCUAUGGGAUGAUGAGUUGAAGGUAGGAAGGGGUGAACGUGUCACAGUAGCUAAGCCAAGUAGAGGUAGAGUUUCUAGAAAUGCCCCCAGGGAGUGGAGCUAUGUGGAUUCUCUCUGGUGAAAUUGCCCUGACACGGUGGAUCCUUGGUACGGUGGUUUAAAUCCGCACCCUUAGGCCACCUGGUUGACCUUAAUUCAACCAGGAACCCAUUGAGCCUCUGCUUAGGUAAGGCCACAGUGGUGGGUCCUGGACCAUUCCUACCUUUCCCUCCUAUUCCGUCCUGUCCCUGCUGGGUGGGUUUUUUUUUUUUCUUUUUUCUGCCAUUUCUUGGGCUGCUCCCACGGCAUAUGGAGCGGAAAAAAAAAAAAAAAAGAGAGAGUGAUUUCUUUUGAGGCUUGUGCGCAGGAGUGGAGGUGGAGAGCUCAGGUGAGACUCAGACAAAGAUUGGCCUUGCCCCCAGCUCACUGAGUAUCUGUCCCUCUCUCUCUCUCCCUUUCCUUCUCUCUCUCUCCCUCUUCCCCCCUCCCCCCACCUCCAGCUGAGGUGCUCAAGUUACUGGAACACAAUUAAGGAUCUUAGUUUGGGGCGUUUCUUGAAAUGGACUUUCUGAAGCAUUUUCUUGGAGCGUCACGCAUGAGACAGCUGGGGUUUAGGUGGGGUAGAGAUUUGGCGCCCGUCACAGACCCAAGUGGAAAGUGGCCUGAAGAAGUUAGAGGCUUAUUUCUCACAUAGAGGCUCAGUGGCCUCCUGUGACACUCCAUGAUCAUCAGGGACCCACCCCUCCUUUCUUGGGGCUCUGCCUUUUCCAAAGACACUGUCUCUCUCCUGGUGCAGAGUCCAGGGUAGCAGCACAGCCACAUCCUCGAGCCAGAGAGCAGGGGGUGGGAGGGGAAGGGCCCCCCUAGAAGUUAAACGCACCACUUCCAGGGGCGUCUCAUGCCGGGACUUCGUGCACCACACAGCUCGGCAUCAGAGGCUCAGCAUCAAAUGUGACCUGUGCACAGCUGGCGCAUCUGUUUCUAGGUCAGGAAGGAAGAAUUGAUUUGGGGAGAUGGGACUUUCACAUCCCGCCAUUUCCCCUCUUCUUGUUUUCACCCAGGUACUCAUUCCUGAGUUCCUGGAAAGUUGUGGCUGCUUGCUAACAGCUAGGGACACAGGCGUAAUUAAGAUAGAGCUUCUGGCCUCGAGCUGUUGGGAGUCUACCCUCGCAGGUGGUGUUCUCCCUAAAAUCAACAGAUUUCCCUUUAUUUGCAUCCACAUUAUUCUUUUUGCAGCUUAUAUGGCCAAUUUUAUUUUUUUUAAAGGAGGUAAUUUUACUUUUUAAAAAAGGAGGCAAUCAAAAAUCAACAAUAAGAAUUUUGAUCUAAAUCUUCUCACUGACUUGAGAAGUUUAGUUGCUUAUCUCUGCUACAUUUCUUAGAAACACACAUCACCCAAACUGCAAACAAACUGUAUUAGGAAACAAGACCUGCAGGCCUUGCAAUGGCAUUCCCCGUAGCUAGAACUUACUAGAAAGAGAUCUCUUUAAUGGGGAGAUGGCACUUAGAAGAGACUCAAGAACAGGGAAGCAGAGGAGAGAGUCCCGGGGCUAUCUCUUUAUAUUCACCCCGUCCGUUCCCCUGUGCUUUGGCCCUUUCUGGUCUUGUGGCUCGUGUGUCCUCUUCUGCCGCCACAGACGUCAACGGUACUGCUUCUUCCAGGCCCUCUUUCCCACAAAGCCUCCAGGCCUUGGGGUGCGCUUUCCUUUUGUCAGGCCCACCCUGUUAAGGUCUUUCUUGUUUCUUGGUUGUAACCCCAUUCACACUGGAAGCUUUAUAAGGGCAGAAGCCCCCAUCCCAGCAAAGUCGGGCAUUGAAAUUCUCGAGUAGCUCACAUGUUGUCCUGAAGCCUGGGUUUUUGAGAGAGAAACGUGAAUGUGAGGUGUGAGGUGGGCCUCCCCCUCGGGUCGGAGUCCCCUGCCCAGCCACACAGCAAAUUCAAGGGUUCCCGACGAUCUUGAGCUGGGCCUUUAGAUGGGGAUGGGCUGGCAGGGGCUCCCGAAGCAAGCCAGCCCCAUCAUCCCAGCAAACUAAAGUGUCUCCAUCUUUGUGAAAGCCAGUUGUAGCACAUAGUUGUUCUGCAUCAGAGACACAAGUGUAUUCAUGUUUUUCAGAAGUAAAUGAAAAAAAAUUAGAUUCUUGCCCUCUCUUCCUCCUCCUUAAUCUGUUCCAAAUGAGAGCUUCGAGGAGGAAAACUCCCAGAACCUACUCUGUUAAGCAAAUUGGUUUCUGCUGUGGAGUGGGGCUGGGCUGGGGAAUGGAGUUAGGAAAAUAUAUGGAACCUGACAUAAAAGAUUCGGUCUGUGUUUGCAAACGGAUUCAGGUUGUUUUCAGGUUUUGAGUUACAGCUCGGGUGCGUCUGAAGCAGCAAAAUUGAGCGGCACCUCGACCCCACAACCUUUGCAGGCUUUUCAUGCAGCUCCUCCUGCCCCAGCCGGUCCCUGUGCUGGAGGCCUUGCUUGGCAGGCUUGGGGCGGGGGGCGGGGCAGACCUUCCUUCAUAAAUAACUCCCCGGGGGAGACAGGAGUGAUAACAGACUUUAAGUGGGAGCUGAACUGCCUUAAGCACUUAGGAAAGGUCCCACAUAAGUCUGGCCCUGCACCUCUCCCUGCCAAGGCCGGCGAGCGCUCUUCCAGUGCUCACUUUGGCUGCUCUAAUUUUAUUAUUUCUCCAGCCUCUCUAACCAGCAGGGUGAUUGAGGCUCUGAUUGUGAGCCCUGUUUUUAUUUUUCACACUCUAUUUUUAUACUUUGAAGCUGUGGUUAUAAAAUAUACACUCAGAAAUGUUGGCUUUGCACCCACAAGACCCAGGAGGCUGCCCAGACGCAGGGACCAGGGCUGCUCCCACCCCUCACCUCACCCCCCGCCGCUGGCCUUUCAGGGAGGGACCUCGGGGUAGGGGGCAGCGGUGGCCGGUAAGAGAUGGAUCCAACCAUGAGUUAGAAUUCUGGCCAAGCAUUUUCGAUUUGACUCUGAGAAAUUGGCAGGAAUAUUUUUCUGGUGGCUCCCCAAACACACAUGGAGGGGCAGCGCCCCUGAGAAGCAGAAGUCCCAGGUUCAGACAAAAGGUUCAUUCACCUCCAUGUGUACGGUUCUCCCGGCCCCCGUCUUCCUCGCCAUCCAUACAAGUGGUGCAUGCAGCUGGGCGCUUAGGUAAAAACAAUACCAGCAAAGCAGCCUUGUUUGUUUUCCGUUCAUCGCUGUUUCCUGGAAGUGGUUGUCACGUUCACGGCACUCUAGAACUCAGAGACUGGGCACGAGAAAUCUUCCCAAGUGCUGACCUUCCCGCGUUCUGCUCCAGCCCGUCCCACCCCCUCCCUCCAUCCGCGUGCCAUCUCGUUUCCCCCGAGGUCCUCCCUGCCUGCCCCUUCCUCCAACCAGAAAAGAUCUAGGAAUCUCCUGACAUUGUUUCCAGCUUUGGCUCCGAGCAGCGCUGGGUCUUUUUUGAGCAGACUUGUCCAUAAAUCUUGGAUUGUUUUUCAUCUUUGAAAAAGCCGCUUCUAUCAGCAAGUCAUUAUUCACGUGUAAGGGGGCAGGGAGAAGUUCACCAAAUUUCCAACUUCAAUUUCUUUGCCCUCCAGUUUACAACAUCCACUCCCCAGAAACCACAGAAAUUUAAAAAAAAAAAUCAAUCUCAGUAGGCUAAGUGCUUCGUGACAUAGCCUGCUGGAACCAGGGCCAGCCACCUGGGCCUGGGGGAGGUGGGGGGUGGUGGUGGGAGAGCGAGGGUUUGCCUAGAUUGGAGCUGGCUGGCUCUAACCCCCAAAGGAACAUAGCUUCAGAUUCUCAGAGAAAGAAAAACCCACCCUUCUCACUUCAGAGUAGUGGAUUUGAUGGGUGGGGAGGUUUGGGGAGAUAGGUGAUGUUAUAAGGAAAGGCUUAAUUUAGCCGUGACUCUAAAUUACAAAUAGGGGAUCUAGUAUAACACAGCUGAGGGGCUAGAAUAUACUUCACUUCCAUGUUAUACCAGCUAAAGGAGAGGUGAAGGGAGAGUGACUUCGGAGCGGAAGGGAAGAGAAGGGAGGGAGGAGGCAUGGAGGCAGGGCAACAGAGUCCCAGUCAAAGGCCUGGCUCUGUCUUUCUGCUUUGUCAUCCCCAGCCUGUUGGCUUUUGACCUCAUGCUUAUUCCCAUGGUUACAAGAUGGUGUUUGCACCUUCAGAUGUCCCCUCCACAUUCUAGGUAGGAAGAAAGGCACACAAACAUACAGUGUUCUUAUCACACGGUUCUUUUUAAUCCAGGGAGGAAAAGAUGUCCCCACCCCCAGAAGACAGCUCUGUAUUGUCCCCUUGGUGAGUUCUGGGUGCAGGCCAGCUUAGCUACCAAGGGAGGCUGGGCGAGGAAGAGUCAUGCAAAGGAGAAUGAGAUGAGCUGGGCACGUCACCUGGAGCCGGAUGCAUCGCCUCCCACAACAGCAUUGGAGGAAAGGGCUGGCUGUUGGGUGGGCUCUAGGUGAAGACCCUGACACCCUAGCCCAGUGUGAGAAACAGAGACUCUGGCAGCGAUGGGAGAAGAACAAGAACUGAAACCGGAGAGGUGAGGGCCAGACCUUCAAAGGCCGACGAUGCCCGCUGAUGGCUUGACUCUAUGGCGGGCGCCUUCCCAGGGUCUAAGUAGAGAAUUGAGGCCAUCGGUAACAUUACUCAGAAGAGGAGAGGGGGCACCUUUGCCCUCUAAGGCAGUGGCAUUCACCCUGCACUGUGUGCCCAGAUCACGUGAGGAGCUUGUGAAAAUUCGCUUCCGAUUCAGUAGGUCUAGGAAGGGCAUGAGCUUCCACAUUUCUCACCAACUCCCAGGGGACGUGGAUGCGGCUCAAGAGACCGUACUUAGAGCUGCAAGACCCAAGGGAUAGCUCUUAAAAACAAACAUCCAGAUGUGUCUGUUAAGCAUUUUAACAUAACCACUAAUAUAACCCGAAACAGGAAUUAAGACUCAAAUCAUCAAAUAUCGUUACUCUUAGAUUGUGUCCCCCACCAAAAAGAAGGGCAAGAUCUGAUGUAUUUUUCAGGACUCCCUAUGUCUGCCUGUAACAGAAAAGCCAAACAAACCAUGGUUUGAGCACAGUGGCAUUUUCCCUCCCUCUCUCGGCUUAAAGUGAUCCCUGAGGAGGGGGGUCCCGCUGACUGGCAGCUCGCAGUCAUGAGGGUUGCAGACCCCAGGCUGCUUCUGGCUCUGCUUCCCUCUCCUGGCAUGUGACUUCUAUCCUCAAAGUCACCUCUUGGUCCCAGAUGGCUGCUGGAAGCCUCAGCCAUCCCAUCCUCGCGGCUGAUGAGACGAAAGCAAAGAAAGAAGAGCAAUAAAGAGCUCCCACCCGCUCCCUUUUUGGGACCCCGUCCCUAAGUCCCGUAAAACGCCCCUAUGUACCUCUCGUUGGCUCCAGCUUGAUACUGUGGCCAUGUUUAUCUGCAGGACGUGCGCAGAAGUGUGUUUUUUCGGCCUCCGCAUGUUACUCAGAGCUGUCUAUCCUCAGAAGAAGGGAGUGCCUCUAACUCUGUCCCUCUGAUAUAGGAGAUAUCGGACUGACUUGGGACAGCCAAAGAUAGAGGGAUGAACAAAACUAUUUCAGGCAAAUGACAACAAAAAGAAAGCAGAGGUGGCAGUCACAAUACUAGGCAAAAUUUCAGCAAAAAGUAGGAGGAUAGAUAGAAAAGGACACGUUGGAUAAUAAUAAAAUGUAUAAUCCACAAAGAAGAUAUACAGGCAUAAACCUUUACAUAUCAGGCAAAAUAGCAUCAAAUAUACCCCUCCCCCAAGAAAGACACACUAUCAGAAGUAUUAGGGAGGAUUUCCUGUGGUGGCUCAGCAGUAGUGAACCUGACUAGCAUCCAUGAGGACAUGGGUUCGAUCCCUAGCCUCACUCAGUGGAUUAAGGAUCUGGCGUUGCUGUGAGCUGUGGUGGAGGUUGCAGACAAGGCUUGGAUCCCACGUUGCUGUGGCUGUGGCGUAGGCUGGGGGCUACAGCUCUGAUUUGACCCCUAGCCUGGGAACUUCCAUAUGCCGUGGGUGCAGCCCUAAAAAGCCAAAAAAAAAAAAGAAGAACUAUUACGGAAAAAAUUCUUAAAAUUAUAACCAAAGUAUGAUACUUUAAGCUUCCUUUCGCAAAAUUUAUAAGGUCAAGCAGAUUAAAUAUAAAUAAGAUUAUGAAGGAUUUGAAUGCUAUAUUUAAAAGCUUGGAUAUGGGUAACCUUGUAUUCUGCAGUCAGAAAGUAAGCAUCCAUUCCAAAUAGCUACAUAACAUUUACAAAAUUGAUUGUAUUUUGAGUCAUCAAGAAAAUGUCAAUUCCAUAAAGUAGGAAUCCUUCUAGGCCGCAUUCUGACCAAAUUACAAGCAAACUAGAAAUUUGUAACAACAAAAUACCACUUAGAUAUUUAU